UACGAAGGGUGCAAGCGUUACUCGGAAUUACUGGGCGUAAAGCGUGCGUAGGUGGUUUGUUAAGUCUGUUGUGAAAUCCCCCGGGCUCAACCUGGGAAUGGCAAUGGAUACUGGCAAGCUAGAGUGUGGUCAGGAGAUGGUGGAAUUCCCGGUGUAGCGGUGAAAUGCGUAGAGAUCGGGAGGAACACUCAGUGGAGCGGA
rnacentral:rRNA from 1 species